rnacentral:lncRNA from 1 species
AUGUCUUGGUCUUGCCGAUGCACAUUUUUUACGGAAAAGGUAAGAUUUCUCCUGGCAGAGUUUGGAGAUGUUGCUGUGAGAAAAAUGCUGGUUCAAGAGUUCCAGCUUGAUCUCAAAGGUAAUCCUUGGGCUUGGCGUUUUAGGGGAUGGUUUUCUCAGCAGAAAGCAUCUCCAGAAGCAGUUUCGUCUAACGGAACUUCCUCAUCAAAAGAUGUAGCAUCAGAAGCGAUCUCACCAGAGACUAUCUUACCCCAGAGUACGAGUACAGUGGAACAUUCGUCCUCCUCUUCACUUCGUUCGCCAUCAAUCGUCCUUAUUUUAAUUGUCUUUGGCAUAAUCCUGACUUUAUUUUGAGUCUUCAACCAUUCCAUAAACUCACACAAAAAGGGACCCUCUAGUUAAAAAAUAUCAAAUCUUAUUUGGUUUUUUAAAGGAGCCUAAAACGUAUGAUCUCAUAGAUGUUUUUGGAUUGAAAUAGUUUGUUAAAUGUACCAGAUAGGAAGCUUCGAAUGAAAAUAGCAUCAUUUGCAGAAUGACAUUCCUAGAGGUUACUUUAGAGAUAAUAUGCAAAAUUUAUAUACUUCAUUCCUACAAUCUAAUGCCUAACAAGUGCAAACUACACUCACAGUUCAAAAAUUAAAAGUAAUUUUACCAAACGCAAAAAGAAAAAAAUGUUUAAAUCAUAAAUUUAUCUACGAUUCCAAGGAAAUUAUACCGGUGUCCUAAAGUUGCCCUCGUGGUUUUUUUGCUGAUUUUAUUUGUUUUCUCCCUCAAGAGAAAAUACUUGAGAUUACCGAUGAGAAUGCUUAUUUAAAAUUACUCCUUUACUUUUGUAAAAUAUUGUUUGGACGACUUCCGGUUCCCUUCUGUUACCGGUUCAAAGUUUAAAAAACAUAAAGAUGAAAAUGAAAACUUGUGCAGGAAAAAUGCAAAUGAACAUCAACAAAUUACUCAUGGAACGAUUCCAUAAUGUCCCAGUGAUUUUAAUGCUGUGCUCAUAUUUACUAUAAUAAUAUUUAAUUGUCUUUUUAUUUGUAAAUCCCACUUUAAAAUGCAGCAAUUGUAUAUAUUUAUACUUGUACAUUUCAUUAUUAAUAUUAAUUGUAUGCAUUGAAUGUUUCUCUGCAUCAGAGAAAAAGUCCUGUGCCUAGAUUAGUAACUCACAUAUAUCCACAUUAAAUUGAUUUUACUUUGAAAAAAUCCUUAUGGAGUC